AUGGCACUAGAAGCAAUAUAUGGAGAUGACCUUGUUGAAUUUGAAAGCAGAGGAGGGCUCCGUUAUUUCCAGAUUUACAUACGUUAUGAUCUGCCUGAUGGUGCUGAAUUGUGCGCUAAGCUUUCUUCCCUUGGUGAAAACUCAAAACAUGGAGGAUGUCCUGAUGGUGGUAGCGAAGACCAUGAAAAUAAACCAGAUGAAUUCUCUUACACUAGCAACUUUGAGUACUUGCCUCCGUUGGUUUUGACAUGCUUCCUUCCAAAAUCAUAUCCUAGCAAGGACCCACCAUGUUUCACUCUCACCGCUAAAUGGAUGGAUGAGCAUAAUGUUUCUCAACUCUGUGAGAUGCUUGAUUCCAUCUGGGCAGAGUUGCAGGGGCAAGAAGUGGUUUAUCAAUGGGUUGAGUGGAUACACAAUUCUUCAUUGUCACAUCUCUGGUUUGAUGGCAAAAUAAUGUUAGGCCAAGAUGACACCCCAGCACCCAAAGUAGAUAUGCGUGCAAUCUCAAGAAGGGUCUCAUUGGAAUCUGUCAUCCCUUCAAUGCUCAGCUACUGUAGUAAGAAGCAUUACCAAGCUUUUCUUGAGGAUCUCCAUAUGUGCAUGAUAUGCCUCAACCAGAGCACAGGUUCGAACUUCAUCAAGCUUCCAUGCCAGCACUUGUUUUGUGCGAAGUGCAUGGAGACAUUGUGCAGAAUGCAUGUGAAGGAAGGGAGUGUGUUCCAGUUGGUAUGCCCUGACGCCAAGUGCAAUGCUUCCAUUCCACAACAUGUCUUAAAGCAGCUUCUUAGCGAAGAAGAAUUCGAACGCUGGGAUAGGCUUGCUCUCGAGAAAGCCUUGGACUCGAUGGCAGACGUGGUUUUCUGCCCAAAGUGUGUAAUUGGUUGCGUGGAAGACGAGGAUAACACUGCGCAGUGUCCAAAGUGUUCCUUCAUCUUCUGCUCGUUUUGUAAGGAGCUCUGGCAUCCAGGGAAGCAGUGCCUAACUCCAGAACAAAAGAUCCAGCACCGGAAGGCAUCAGGUAGGAUGAGUGAGAGGGAGAUGGCGCAAGAACUGCUGAACAUUAAAGAGCUAUAUAAGGAUGUUCGGUUAUGUCCCCAUUGUCGGAUGGCCAUCAGCAAAACUGCAGGCUGCAACAAAAUGACGGAUUGCAAGCUCUUUGAGGCUAGGGAUAUUGCAGAAUGGGAGAGAGAAAUGGACCAAAUACAAAUAGGAAACCAGAUUCGAGCCCAGCAGAAGCCAUUAGGUGGCAUCUUAAGAUGCCCGAAAUGCGGUGAGAGAAAUUUCAAGGAUGACGAGAAAUAUUUAUUUUGUUGGGCGUGCCGAGCCAGCUAUUGUCAACUGUGCAAACGGGUGGUCGAUAAUAAGAGGAUGAAGAGCGAGCAUUGGGGAUCGAUUGAGUGCCUGGGGCUUGAUAAAUUCUAG
rnacentral:rRNA from 1 species